rnacentral:rRNA from 1 species
GACGAACGCUGGCGGCGUGCUUAACACAUGCAAGUCGAACGGUGACGCUGGAGCUUGCUCCAGCUGAUCAGUGGCGAACGGGUGAGUAACACGUGAGCAACCUGCCCUUGACUCUGGGAUAACCCCGGGAAACCGGAGCUAAUACCGGAUACGAACCGCACAGGCAUCUGAGUGGCUGGAAAGAUUUAUCGGUCAAGGAUGGGCUCGCGGCCUAUCAGCUUGUUGGUGGGGUAACGGCCCACCAAGGCGACGACGGGUAGUCGGCCUGAGAGGGCGACCGGCCACACUGGGACUGAGACACGGCCCAGACUCCUACGGGAGGCAGCAGUGGGGAAUAUUGCACAAUGGGCGAAAGCCUGAUGCAGCGACGCCGCGUGAGGGAUGAAGGCCUUCGGGUUGUAGACCUCUUUCAGCAGGGAAGAAGCGAAAGUGACGGUACCUGCAGAAGAAGCACCGGCUAACUACGUGCCAGCCGCCGCCGUAAGAC